GACAUAGGGUGCAAACGUUGUUCGGAAUUACUGGGCGUAAAGCGCGUGUAGGCUGCUCUGCAAGUCGGAUGUGAAAGCCCUGGGCUCAACCUAGGAAGUGCAUUCGAAACUGCAGAGCUGGAGUCCUGGAGAGGAAGGCGGAAUUCUCGGUGUAGAGGUGAAAUUCGUAGAUAUCGAGAGGAACACCGGUGGCGAAGGCGGCCUUCUGGACAGUGACCGACGCUGAGACGCGAAAGCGUGGGGAGCGAACAGG
rnacentral:rRNA from 1 species